rnacentral:lncRNA from 1 species
CACCUUGUACACAUAGUACGAUCUCCAAUCCUCUUGAAAGGUACCUAGAUAUGCUUAAAAGAGGAUGUAGAGAAAGUUAUUUCUCAUAGAAGAUAGAAAGCAUAGAGAUGAUCCUAAAACCUACAAUGAGGCGAUGUGGGACAUCGACUCUAAGAAAGGGAUGUGAAAUAACUUUUCUGAGUAGAGAUCUUUUGAAGAUUUCUAUAUGGAGU